CAGAGCUGGAGUGAACGUUUUUGUCCCUGGGUUUGGUAACUGCUGCUUAGAACUCAGGAGAGGUGCACGGCUCUUUGUCCCAUGUUGUGAACAGAUGGGUAGGCAGUGGAUAGGUAGUUGUUUCUUCAGCCUCCCCUUGUGUCUUUCAAGCGAGCACUGUGUGUCACGUGGGGAUCGUGUUUGGGGCCCUUAGACUGUCGUCCCCAGCCAGCAGCAGCCGCCUCUGGGCAGGUGUGGGCGGUGCCGUCCCCGGCUGAAGCAGGCCUGCCUGUGGACCCAUGCUCAUCACGGUUGACAAAGCAGCUCUGCAGAGCUCGGGCACAUCACAGUGGGAGCCACAACGGGAGCAAAGCUCUGGCAAACGCCCUUCUGGAAAAGGAAGUGAUAAACUAUGAGGACAUUGAGGCUCUCAUUGGCCCGCCGCCCCAUGGGCCGAAGAAAAUGAUCGCACCGCAGAGGUGGAUCGACGCCCAGAGGGAGAAACAGGACUUGGGCGAGGAGGAGACCGAAGAGACCCAGCAGCCUCCACUUGGAGGCGAAGAGCCGACUUGGCCCAAGUAGUUGGGAGGUGUUGGCUGCACGUGCGGGUGGUCCGGGAAGUGAGGGCUCACUCAGCCACCCUGAGUUGCUUUUCAGCUGAGGUUUGCACUUCCUCUCGCGGCCCUCAGUAGUCCCUGCACAGUGACUUCUGAGAUCUGUUGAUUGAUGACCCUUUUCAUGAUUUUAAGUUUCUCUGCAGAAACUACUGACGGAGUCCUGUGUUUGUGAGUCGUUUCCCCUAUGGGGAAGGUUAUCAGUGCUUCCCGAGUGAGCAUGGAACACUUCGAGUUCCCAGGGUUAUAGACAGUCGUUCCCAGUGUGGCUGAGGCCACCCAGAGGCAGCAGAGCAUUCAGACUCCAAACAGACCCCUGUUCAUGCCGACGCUUGCACGACCGCCCCAGUUCCUGUGGCUCCCUCGGAAUGCUAAGGGGAUCGGACAUGAAAGGACCCUGUGAGCCGAUUGUCCUAUCUCCAGCGGCCCUGUCAUCCAGCUCACUCAUCAAUGGGGCCAGUCAGGCCCAGGCACUGGGCUCCGGAGGACUCACCACUGCCCCCUGCUGCCAUGUGGACUGGUGCAAGUUGAGGACUUCUUGCUGGUCUAGUCACGCAUGCAGUGUUGGGGAUGCCUUGGUUUUUACUGCUCUGAGAAUUGUUGAGAUACUUUACUAAUAAAC
rnacentral:lncRNA from 1 species